UUCCUCCCACACCCCAAAGCUGUGCACACGAGGUGAACUAGCGUACCCACAUGGACCUCAUCAUCUGUGUGAGUGUGGGUGUGUUUGAGUGCACCCUCUGAUGGCAUAUCAUCCUGUCCAGGGUUGUUCUUCUAUUGCUCUGAACUGCCAGGAGUGGCUCUACCCACCUGUGACCCCAAACUCGUCUCAGCAGACCUGGUCUCCCUUUAUCGCUGAAGCUGGAAUACAGGGAUUAUAGCUCACUGCAGCCUUCGGCUCCUGGGCUCAAGUGAUAAUCUUGCCUCAGUAUCCCAAGUUGCUGAGUACCUGAGACUAAAGGUUUAUACUCACCUGUCCAUCAUGUGGAAGCUGGAGAGUCACUUCUUUGGAUAAUUCAAGAAUCUUGGGAUACUUCAGAGAACAAUUCUCAAACAACUUCUUCAAACUGACAGACUUCAAGGAACUAUGCAGGAUAGAUGGGUGGCCAAAUGACAAGCUUGGAAAGCUACAAGGGAAUGCUACCUGCUCCUCUCCGUCCAUUCUUUGCUCUCUUCUCUGAACUCCAUGUCUUCCACCAAGGUUCACUUCACCACUGUGUCAUUAAAAUGUUCAGUACCAAUAUGCAGACUGUCCGCAAUGAUUGAUAGGUAUAAACUGUUCAAGAAGACACCCAUUUCUAGCAAAAUUUCUGACUCCUUUCAAAAUAAAAAUUGGCCCUCUUACAGUAAUUUCACACUGAUAUAUGUCAGGGAUUAAUCCAAAAUGCCUGCAUAUAUUCAGGAUAGCUUUCCUGAGUUGAUUGGCCUUUGACUGUGAAAUUUUAACUACAAAAAUCAAGUUAAUGAAUCAUAUGUGUAUGUACAAAGACAUUCACUGUCAACUGACCUGUGAAAACAUAAAUCAUAUUACCAGUAUGGGGAUUAUUAUUAUAAAAGAAAUCUUUAUGUAGAGAAGAAUUACUAAUGAGUCAAAGCAAACUCUCCCUUUUAAUGAACAAUUCCUGAAAUGUUUCAUAAUGCAGGAAAAAUUCCAGUCUGUCUACAACCCUUUCCCUAUAGCUCUGUGGUUCUGUAUGAUCAUGAGGGAAAUUUAUUAUUGCUAUUUCUGAAAAUCCUAACUGCAAUAAAAUAUAAAAAAUAUUUAAAAAUCAGCAUGAAUAUUCACAUUUUGUAUGGUUCCUAAAUAUUUAAUUAUUUAAUAUCUUCAAAUAAUCAGCACCUUUUCUUUAUUUUUUGAUGUCGCCUUAUUUAUGAUUUUCGCUUGAAGCUAGGAGAGCUCUAAGUGGAAAGAUAUAUUAUUGUAUUGCGGAGUCCCAAACCCCCAGGACGGGGACUGGUACCAGUCCAUGGUCUGUUAGGAACAGAGCCACACAGCAGGAGGUCAGGGGCCUGCCAGCGAGCAUUACAUUAUUGCCUGAGCUCCAUCUGCUGUCAGAUGAGUGAUGGCAUUAGAUCUUGUAGGAACAGGAACCCUAUUGUGAAUUGUGCAUGUAAGGAAUCUAGGUGGUGUGGUCCUUAUGAGAAUCUAAUGACUGAUGAUCUGAGAUAGAACAGUUUCAUCCCGAAAUGUUACCCCUGCUGCCGCCCAUCCUGAAAAAAUUGCCUCCACAAAACUGGCCCGUGGUGCCAAAAAGGCUGGGGACUGCUGCUAUAUCGUGUAUUAAAUCCUGAUAUUUUUAUUUGAUUCAUUUCACUUUAAAGAGUCAGAAAAGAAUAGACUUCUUUUAUAUUUUCAGAAUUUCAAAUACAAAUUAUAAAUUAUGAAAAUAAUAAAUAUUACUCCUAAUAAAUAUUUUUAAUGUUAUCAAUUUUCAAAAAGCUUUAAUUGAGAACCUGGGAACUGUUAUAUUUCAUUUUGCUCUUGAACAGCUAAUAAUGUAUAACAGGCUAUUAAUUUUUUUUUCUAUUUUAUCUUCCAAUAUAAAUUUCCUUUUUGUGAAUUGAGUCAAUUGAGGAAAUAAAUUAUUUGACCUGGGUUAUCUACACUUUGCCUCCAAAGCAGAAACUGUUGUUCCAUAUCUUCAGGCUGCUCUUUUCUUUUUGUAUUUAUGCCAGUUAAAGUAGAGAAAGAAAAAUGAAAACAAGAAAAAUAAAAUAAAAUUCACAUGGGUAGAUGUCUAUGGAAAAUUAAAUAUCUAAGGAUGCAAAUUUAUUUUUUUGCAUGCAUGUACAUGUGAAUGAAGAAUAUAAACACAGUAUAUUGCAUUUAUAUUCUAUUCUGUUUCUUUAGGAUUUAAAAGUUACUAUGUUGUACUAUUCUUAAAUUAAGAUUUAUUUAAUGAUGUUGUUGGAUUUUGGAGGGGUUCUCCAUAGAAUAACAGGCUCUCUUUCAGAUUUUGUAAAUUCUUUCCCCAACCACAACUCAUCACAAUUUUUGCAAAGGAUUGAAUGGAACAUUAGAGACCUUCCAGAAUAUUUGUACUGAUUAAUUUUAAAGGUAUAAGAUGCUAGGAGAAAGAUUAUUUGACAUGAUUUCCUACUGAAAUCUUCUCUGUAUUUGUGGAUGCAUAAUCGAAAACUCUUUAACAUGACACAGUAGCAUUGCUGUUUGAUUUGUCUUUAAAUUCCUAUAUUUAAAUAAACUGUGGCAGAAAAA